UUGUAGUGGCCUUCCUGAUGGCCCCAGUGCACUGUGGGAAGAGAGGGACAGUGAGAGGAUUAGAGGGUCAUUUCUCACCUUGAGGGAGGAGAGCAUGGGGAGACAGAUGCGGUCAAAUAGCCAAAUGAAGAACGAUCCUGAAUCUUUGAUGAAGAGAGACGAAAAGCCCCUGACUGCUUCCCAGCGUUCCUUUGGGCAUGUAUGCGAUGUUUGACAUCUGAGCUUGGAUCAUGAGAGAGCCAGUCGCACCGUGAGAGAGGCACUGAUGUCAAAUUCUCACUUGGACAUUCUUUACCCAGCGUGUAUUUAGAGUGAAAAAACCCCUUUAUUACUACAGACAAAUUGGAAUUAACUGAGGGGCCAUUUUAGUUGCAUUAUCAUCUCCACCAGUCCUAGGGGCUGCAGAUGGUGGUGUGGUCCUACAGUACCAGCUAUUCAGGAAGCUCAGAAUGGACAUGCAAGGCUUCAUUUGACUGUCAACAGUUCACAAAAAUGCCUGCUGACUUCCUGUUUCUCUUCCAAAGACCAAGUCAUGUGCUCCAUUUCCUCUUGGAACUCAGAUGAUGUGAAUAUCUUGUGAUAAUCUUAUCUGCUCAA